GAAGAAUAUAAGAAUCAGGCACAUCUGGGUUGGAAUUCUAAUUCCAUAUGAAACCUGAUUGUCUCUGGGCAAGUGACUUAGUUUUCCUUAGCUGUGAAGUGAGGAAGUUAAAUGAUUUUUAAUUCAUAGUGUUAUUGUGACAAUUAAAGUAGAGAUGCAUGUGAACUUCUUGGCAGACUGUAGGCCCUCAAUACACAUUAUUUUUAUAGCUCAAACAUUCCUAAGACCAUCCAUUAAAAUGAUGUCAAAUCUAUUCUCAGGAAUAGCAGGGUGGUCAGGUUUUCAAUUUCUGAAUGUGUCAAUUAUGCACAAAUUGGGUGGUUUUAUUUGAGAACCUUCAAUUUGGAUAAAAGCCUGAUGUGACUUAGUCAUACAGACAAACUAUUUGUAAUGAAGAAUAUUAAAGCAAAGAGUUAAAAAGUAGUCUUUCAAAUUUAUUUACCUAUUACUUAUGGAGAACUUGGAAUUUUUUAGGUUCUUUAGAGACAAAUCUCUUUCCCUAAGAACUUUAGCAUAGGAAAGAAAUGAACACACAUAGCUCUAAAC
rnacentral:lncRNA from 1 species